AUUGAACGCUGGCGGCAUGCUUUACACAUGCAAGUCGAACGGUAACAGGCCGCAAGGUGCUGACGAGUGGCGAGCGGGUGAGUAAUGCAUCGGAACGUGCCCAGUCGUGGGGGAUAACGCAGCGAAAGCUGCGCUAAUACCGCAUACGAUCUAUGGAUGAAAGCGGGGGACCGUAAGACCUCGCGCAAUUGGAGCGGCCGAUGUCAGAUUAGGUAGUUGGUGGGGUAAAGGCCUGCCAAGCCGACGAUCUGUAGUUGGUCUGAGACGACGACCAGCCACACUGGGACGGAGACACGGCCCAGACUCCUACGGGAGGCAGCAGUGGGGAAUUUUGGACAAUGGGCGCAAGCCUGAUCCAGCAAUGCCGCGUGCAGGAAGAAGGCCUUCGGGUUGUAAACUGCUUUUGUCAGGGAAGAAAUCCUCUGGGUUAAUACCCCGGGGGGAUGACGGUACCUGAAGAAUAAGCACCGGCUAACUACGUGCCAGCCGCCGCAGUAAAAC
rnacentral:rRNA from 1 species